rnacentral:misc_RNA from 1 species
GACAACUACAAUUACAGAAAGGUCGAUAUAGUAGAAAGAUCAUAACAUGGUUUCAACAAGAGUUUAGUCCUUCCACUUGCAACAAUGGAAAAUUAUUGUACACUUGGUUCCUGACAGCAACUGAAUCAGUCUAAUGGAAACCACUCAGCAACUGUAUGUUACAGUUCAGUCAUAAAAGUGCAGCAUAUUCCACAAACAAAAUACAAUAUCAACACACUCAGUAACGAUACUUGGUAGAGUAAUCU